rnacentral:snRNA from 1 species
ACGUUGGAAGGGAUUUCUUCUC